AGCAGAGACCGAUCGUGCAGGAGAAGAGCAGAGAGCAGAGGACCAGACUCUGAAGAUCACGUUGGACACAUCAGAUGCAGUGGGUACCAGCUCACCUGCUGCCUUACUGAAAUUCGCUCAUGACCUUCUCUUCUGUCAUGGCCAGGGAGGGAAGAUGGCUGGCUUCCUGGAGAACUUUGCUGCACUUCUCUCAGGAGUGUGCCUCUGAGGUUCUUCAAGUUCAUAUUUUACUAUAUCCUAUCUGCAAGACUGGGCUUUGAACAAUUUGAAAUUUCUCCCAAGAAAUAGGUUUUUAUUUUUCUUGUUUGUUUCAUUUUUUUUCUCCAUCAGUUUUAAAGCAAAAAGAGUCUUGGUCAGAUUCAAAGGUGUGGGACAGACAGAUUCAGUGAUGUGCAGGCUGUGUGCCUGCAGGCUUUUCCUCUCUUGCCUUCAUUUCCAUCCUGAUAUCUCCCCAGACUCCCCUUAAAGCGAUACCUAUGUGAGUGCAGUGCACCCAGAAUGGAAAUCAUUGUAAAUCUGGAUUCUACAAAUCUGACAUAACAUGAGUUUUUAAAUUAUAAAUCAGUCUUCUGAAAAAUUAACACAUUUUCAGGAGAAAACACGACUUUGAACUCAUUCCCCCAAUAAUAUUUUCAAAAUAUUUCUCAAGAUUUAGAGGUGGAGCACUUUUCUGGAUUUUUGUAACUUUCCUUUGGAGAACAGUAAAACAAACACCAGCAUCUCUUUCCUUUUGUGGAUUCAUUUGCGUGAAGGACUGCGCACAUCUGAAGUACAGAGUCAGAGUUCUUCCAUCAGCCUACUGAUGUUUGAGUCUUCAUCUGUCAAGAAGUGUGUGGCUUGACUUUGAGGAAGAAGGAUGACUGAGGUCCAGGAACAACAUUGUCUGCCUGGCAUCACCCACGCCAUGCUCCUUGAUAAGUGAUUGUUUGUGGGAGUGAAAAAGGAGCCGCCCUGUUAAUUUAAGAUAGAGAAUUGAGAUCAUAAGGACACUUGAGUGUACUCAAAUCACAUAGGAGAAACCAGGCCCUGGAAUUUAUCAGACACAUCAGACCAUCUGAGGAAUGGAUGUAACCCCUUUAACGAGACCACAUAAAGUGAUGAACA